AGCGGUGACUGUUGUUUGCAAGCUUUGGCUCCCUACGCUUCCUGCACUACCAGCACCCAGCCAACCCUCCGCAGACACUCCACAGUCGUCUGGAGCUUCUCUGGACACAUCCCAGAGGAGAGGGGCAGGAGCACAAACUGGAAGCACAUGCUUCAGAGCUGCUUGGAUGCCAGCGUGAGCCGCCUGGAUCUCUCGCGGCUGAACAGCUUCUGCCAUGGAGCUGCCACGCUGGGCCCUUCAUGAGCAUGACUGCAGGUUUGCAGACUGACGUUAGCAAAGGGAUUUUGUCAGCAGAGUGCAGUAAGCCAAAUACCAUUUUCUGUGGGAUGCACAUGAUGCAAGAGGUGUAAUGAUAGAGGCCCAUCCUGAAGAAUAUCCAGCUGUUAGACAAAUGAACCAGGCAACCAGGAAUUGUCCAUACAAUGGUUCCAGCACUGCAAAAGCAAAGCCCCUUAGAACAGCUCGUCUCCAUCCUUCAGUCAAAUCCCAGCAGUAACUGACUUGCAGAUCUCCACUUCUGCACUAACAUUUUGCCAUUUGAAAACCUCGACCAGAAGACUUCCAGGCCAACAGGGUCUGGAAAUGGAACGUAAAUCUAUGGUUGGCUCUUGCCUGUGCUGUAAAGUGGGUAAGAAAGACAAACAACAAACAACUCUCACUGAAACAACCCUGCUUUCUGCAAGCUGAAAAGAAGCAAACUUCUCCCAAACACUGCGUUCCUCCACAUCCACUGAUGGUAAUUAAGUCUGGUACAUUUUAUAGCUCAGGAUGAUGAAGUGAAACUGAGUUUAGCUAUGAAAAAACCUCCGAAAAGUUGCAAGAUCUGUUUGACAACCACCAUCUGAGAAUGCUUCUUCUUUCACUUGCCCAGCUGAAUAGCAACAGCUGGUACUAGAUAAAUCUUUAGGAUUCUUACUUGCCUAAACAGCGUUUACCAAAUGAAAAUCAUCUGGAAAAUGUGGAAGCAUGCCUUCUUUGUAUGCUUUUUCUUCUGUGUGAGAAUUUACAAAAUGUCCCCAGAAAAAGAACAGGAACAAUUGUCAAACAAUGAUUGAUUAAAAAAAAAAUCAGGAAUUUAGAGCAAUUAAUUCUUACACGGACAUGAUAUAAAAGCCAAGUAAUAAAGGACAUUUUAUUCCAGUCAUUCUUAAAUGUCUAAGCAAGAAAAGUAAAGCACUCAGUUGUUUACCACUCAGAGCAUAUGACAAAGUUGUGCAUUGUCACAUGAAUUCAUGGAGUGUGUUAAUACAGAGGAAAUGAGCUGUUGGACAUUUCAUUUCUUCUGGUUUUGUACAUUUAUAAUUCUCCGAAUUGGUGUCUGUAUUACUUAUUUAGAAAACCAAGAAUAAAUACAUUUUUAUAAGAUU